rnacentral:rRNA from 1 species
UACGGGGGGGGCAAGCGUUGUUCGGAAUUACUGGGCGUAAAGGGCUCGUAGGCGGCCAACUAAGUCGGACGUGAAAUCCCCAGGCUCAACCUGGGAACUGCGUCCGAUACUGGAUGGCUUGAAUCCGGGAGAGGGAUGCAGAAUUCCAGGUGUAGCGGUGAAAUGCGUAGAUAUCUGGAGGAAUACCGGUGGCGAAGGCGGCAUCCUGGACCGGCAUUGAUGCUGAGGAGCGAAAGCCAGGGGAGCAAACGGG